AAGCACAGGAGAUAUUCCUGAGACCAGGGUGAAUUAUUUGGCCUGCUCAAGUAGAGAACUCUAAUUUACAGCUUUUCAUUUCAGUUCUUUUCUUUGUAGAUGUAUCUUUCCAAAGUUAUAAAGUCAAUUUGAUUUUUCCUGAAUAAUCAUGUCACACCCUGAGGUGAUGAAAGAAGAUUCAAGGCCCCGGCUGCUUUCCUGUAUUCAAAACUGGUUGAAAGCGUGAAGGUUUAUUCCUCUUGUUGUUGAUAUAAAAGGUGUUACUAUCAGCAUAAAGUUGCUACCAAGGAAAUAAUGCAAAUAAUUCUUUGUGGCCAGUUGCCAAAGAAGAUACAUUUCACAGAAAAAUUAUCUGCAUUUUUAAUCUGAACAAUGGCAUGGCUAAUAAGAUGCUAACUACUGAUUUAAAUCAGGUGAGAAAAAUAAACGCAUGCGCAUAAGGAAAAGCCCACAUGAGCACGUAGCAGAAGGUAGUCAUCUGCAAACGAAGGAAAGGCCUCACAAGACCUCAGCGUAGCAAGUAAGACCUGAAUCUUGGACUUCCAGCUCCUAAAACCGUGAGUCAAUGAAUUUUUGUUCUUAUAGACACCCACUCUGUGGGAUUUGUUUUGGCAACCAAUUAAUAUGGGUAUUUAUUCAAAUCAUUUAACUUUUGGAGUGAUUUUGCUAUUAUAAAGUACCAAGUUUCUUCAUGAAAUCUUACAAAUGUGCUAAUGUUUUGAAAGAAAUGAUUCGAAGCAUUCUCUCAAAUGUUUAAUUAUAGCCUGGGCUGGAGAAGCCCCAAGGCUCAAAAGAAAGUUUAGACAGGAGGUAGUAGCUUUUGUUAAUGUAGUUCGUUUUUAUAUCAUUCCUUUUAUUUUGCCUAAGUUUAAGGUAAAAGCUUAUUUCCAUACCACUUCAUCCUUUUGAUGUAAGACCUUUUUGUUUUUCCAGGUAGCAGUAGUAGGAUUUGGUAUUUUGUUUAGAAAAAGUAAAACUUCAUUGGAAAACACCUAAUUUAUCUUGUAAAAACUCCAUUACUUUUGUCAUUUAUUAGUACAAAGUACAUUAAAAUAGAAACUAUGUUUCCCUGGUUUAAAAAAAAUUUAUCGCACACACCUUUAAUAGAUGUAAUACCAUUAUCGAUUUAAAUGAUGUCUGUGUAUUGAAUGUUUUAGGCCUUAGGUGGAUAGAGUUAAUUCUAUAUGGCUGCUUGUUCUGAGACUUGCUCUGACAUAUAUCUCAUAAUGGUUCCUGUUGAUUGAUCUAAUUAUAUACACAUGGUUUUAUUGGAGCUUUGUGAAUCUGGAGAUACCCAUGUUUGCUUAAUGUUCUACAAGCACAAUUCAAAACCCUUUAGGCUUACCAGGAUUGUUUCCAUAAUCCUUAAUUGAGAAAAGUAAGCCUUGAGAAUUUUGAAAUACCCUGCCUAAAUCAAGCAUCUGGACCAGGAGAUUUUUCUCAUUAGAUUUUAAAAAAUAGAUUAUGUAUUUUUUGUGUGAAUGUUAUUUUAGAAUGAAAUGAAACGUUUCUCCCUGUGAGUGCAUACAAACAUCCUUACUUUAUGGUCUUUGAUUUUCAAACUUAAAGAAUGACUAUUUUUUCAGAAAGAAUAUACAAAAUAAAAUUACAGCAUAGUAAGCAGUGAAUUGCAGAGAAAUAGUAGUAUUUCAAAGCAAGGCUAAUAAUAACCCUUAAAUUACUAUGCUUUAUGGAUGAAGAUAAAUAUAGCAGAAUUAAUUUUCAUAACUGUAAGUUAAUUUCACUGAACACUUCAAUAGUAGGUGUGAAUCUAUGAAUCUCACUUUUUUAUUGGUCUCCUUAAUAUAUCAGGAAUCUCAUCCUGAUGCUUGCAACAUGCAAUUGUGUCUGUGAUUUGUGAUUUAUUCCUUCUCUCUGCAGUUUUAACUAUUUUUAUAGUUAGAAACUAUAACUAUAAAACUAUAUUUUAUCUUUUUUCUUUGUAUUUCUUGAAGAAUAGUUCAGACAAGUAAGAUUACUCUGUUUCCUAUCCACUCCAGUGUUUUGGGGUUUUAAGUGUCAUUUUUAAACAAAGCUUUAGUUCACUGAAAGCCUAAGACAAACCUAAAGUUUUGAAAUGUAAUUCCCCAGACACAUUACAUUUUUCUUGACUGAAUCAGUUUAUUAAAUAACCAAAAUCAGGUGAAGCAGAAACCGGCAAAAGAGUAAUGCUGAUAGUUUUCUCUCAUAAAUCCUACCCACCAGCCCCAUCAGAUGUACACAUGGUGAGCUUCAGUGAAAGACUCCAGGGAUGGCUGUAUUGGGGCUGCAUGUGGUGGCAGGAGUGGGGGAGUCAGAGGACUGCUUAAAAAAGGAAAAGAUUGACAAAUGGGUGACUUGUUGAAGAGUAGAGAGCUUUAUGAGCUCUUUAAGCAGCCUAUGUAAUUUACUUUCCCGGUACUUACUAACCUUGACUGGAAAAGAGUUGUCUAAUAAGCUUCAGGAACUUGAAGGAAGCUAAGUGGGUUUGGGUUCGUCUCAAGUUUAAGAUCAAUGGAUGUUGUUAGUUGUGGUAUAAAAACCAAAAAGCUAAACAUAACCUGAAGAUGUUUAAGUGAGAGUCCAGUGUUAAAAUGCACACGUGGGAAGUUACUUUCAUGGUUCACCUGUUAACGAACCUGACUAAGAUUCACGAGGACGCGGGAUCCAUCCCUGGCCUUAGUGGGUUAAGGAUGCGGCAUUGCCAUGGGCUGUGAUGUGGGUUGCAGAUGUGUCUCAGAUCUCGUGUUACUGUGGCUGUAGUGUAGGCUAGCAGCUGUAGCUCUGAUUUGACCCCUAGCCUGGGAACUUCCAUAUGCCAUGGGUGUGGCUU
rnacentral:lncRNA from 1 species